rnacentral:rRNA from 1 species
GACGAACGCUGGCGGCGUGCCUAAUACAUGCAAGUCGAGCGGACGAAUCGAAAGCUUGCUUUUGAUUCGUUAGCGGCGGACGGGUGAGUAACACGUGGGCAACCUGCCCUGUAGACGGGGAUAACACCGAGAAAUCGGUGCUAAUACCGGAUAACACGAAAUAUCGUAUGACGUUUCGUUGAUAGACAGCGCAAGCUGUCGCUACAGGAUGAGCCCGCGGCGCAUUAGCUAGUUGGUGAGGUAACGGCUCACCAAGGCGACGAUGCGUAGCCGACCUGAGAGGCUGAUCGGCCACACUGGAACUGAGGACCGGCCCAGACUCCUACGGGAGGCAGCAGUAGGGAAUCUGCCGCAAUGGAAGAAAGUCUGACGGAGCAACGCCGCGUGAGCGAAGAAGGCCUUCGGGUCGUAAAGCUCUGUUGUUAGGGAAGAACAAGUAACGCAGUAACUGGCGUUAUCGUGACGGUACCUAACGAGAAAGCAACGGCUAACUACGUG